ensembl:lncRNA
UUUUUCCGAUUAUUUUUCCAAUUAAUUAUUUUUCCCAAUUAAUUUUUUCCGAUUAUUUUUUCCCGAUUUUUUUUUCCAAUUAUUUUUUUCCAAUUAUUCUUCUGAUUAUUUUUCCAAUUAUUUUUUCCGAUUAUUUUUCCAAUUAAUUAUUUUUUUCCCAAUUAUUUUUCCCAAUUAUUUUUAUCCGAUUAUUUUUCCCAAUUAAUUUUUUCCCGAUUAUUUUUUCCAUUUUUUUCCAAUUAUUUUUUUCCAAUUCUUUUUCCGAUUAUUUUUCCGAUUAUUUUUCCAAAUAAUUAUUUUUUCCUAUUAUUUUUCCCAAUUAUUUUUCCAAUUAAUUAUUUUUUCCGAUUAUUUUUCCCAAUUAAUUUUUUCCGAUUAUUUUUUCCCCAUUAUUUUUUCCGAUUAUUUUUCCAAUUAUUUUUCCGAUUUUUUUCUGAUUAUUUUUCCAUUUUUUCCCAAUUAUUUUUCUAAUUAAUUAUUUUUUCCGAUUAUUUUUUCCCGAUUAUUUUUUCCAAUUUUUUUUUCCGAAUUAUUUUUUCCGAUUAUUUUUAAUAAUUAUUUUUCCAAUUAUUACUAUUUUUAGGUAUUUUUUUCUGAAUUUUUUCCAAUCUUUUUUUCCUAAUUAUUAUUUUUUAAUAUUAUUUUUCCUAAUUAUUAUUCCGAUUUCCCCCCAAUUUUUGUAUCCAAUUAUUUUUCUAAAUUAUUUUUUCCAAUUAUUUUUAAUAUGUUUUUCCAAUUAUUUCCUUUUUAAAUUAUUUUUUUCUGAAUUAUUUUUUUUCCAAUUAUUUUUUAUAAUUAUUUUUCCAAUUAUUUCCUUUUUUUUUUUUUUAAUUAUUCAAUUUUUUCCUCAUUUUUUCCCCAUUUUUGGUCAUUUUUUAUUCAAUUUUUUUCUCAUUUUUUCCUCAUUUUUAUUCAAUUUUUUUCCCCCAUUUUUGGUCUUUUUUUCACCCAUUUUUUCCUCAUUUUUAUUCAUUUUUUCCUCAUUUUUAUUCAUUUUUUUCUCAUUUUUCCCCAUUUUUUCCCCCAUUUUUCAUUCAAUUUUUCCUCAUUUUUAUUCAAUUUUUUCCUCAUUUUUAUUCGAUUUUUUUUCUCAUUUUUUUCUCAUUUUUUCUCUUUUUUCCCCAUUUUUGAUCUUUUUUUCUACCAUUUUUUCCUCAUUUUUUAAUGUUUUAUUCAUUUUUUUUCUCAUUUUUUACUCAUUUUUUCCCCAUUUUUCCCCAUUUUGAACCAUUUUUCAUUUUUUUCCUCAUUUUUUCACCCAUUUUUUCCGCAUUUUCCCUCAUUUUUAUUCAAUUUUUUCCUCAUUUUUAUUCAUUUUUACUCAUUUUUCCCCAUUUUUCCCCAUUUUUCAUUCAAUUUUUCCUCAUUUUUAUUCAUUUUU